GAGGGGCUGUGGGGGCUCCCCCGGCCCCGGCCGAGCCCCUGAGGAAGCGAGGAGGCGUCCUGAGGGUGGAUGAGGGGAAGGCGGCUCGGCCCUAAAGCGGCUGCUGCCGGGGGAAGCGAUGCUCGCUGGGUUUGGGGUGUGGGGCUGGAGCUGUAAGGCUGCUGUUGGUCUUCCCCUCCCCUGCCUGCAGAGGAUUCUGUGAAAGAAAGAUCUGGACACAGCGAGCUGCUGGUGGAAGAUGAGACCACCUUCAAGGGCGUUCUGGAAUGGCAGGGAAGCACCGUGUGGGAGCGCUGACAGGAGAGCAAGGUACCUUGUACGAUCCCUCCCAAAGGAAUGCUGUCAGUGCUGCCAUGUCCUCCAUCACGUUACUGUACCUGUUCUACCAAGGGAGACCUUCAAGGCUAUGCUAAGUGUUAAGCCAGCGUUUUUCAUGAGGAAACCCAAAUCAAGAAUCAUAGUAACUCUUAAGAAAAGUUGUGCCCCAUACCACAGUGCUGGGAGAGAGCACACACCAUUUGCUAUCACUCCACACACACACAAUGAUUUGAGACAGUAUUUCCUCCACAAUUUUUAUUUUAAAUUACAAAGGAUGUUGCAUACAUUGAUGAAUUUGUAUCUGAAUAGAAGUGCUAGGGAUCAAGGGUGACAGAGUAAACAAAGUCAAUAGUUUAAUUGUGCCUCUUUUCGAAGAAAAGAAAAAGAAAAACUGCACAACUAUUAACCAACAUUAAACAUUGCAACUCUUAACAAAUCAUGCUUUUAACAAGGUAAAUUUUUCUCUAACAGAGACAAGACUUUCAUUAAGUUUUUCUGAGCUCCAGUUGGAAGUAGAUUAUAGAGUAUCUAGGCAGAACAGGAUGCCAUGUUUUGCUUAAAAUGCUUUUUUUUUUUUCCUGUCAAUCACCUACAUCCCCAUGUGCCAUCAGCCUUAGAAUUCACCAAACCACAAAUACUGAACAAUGACAAGUUUCACGUCAACAUUUUGGAAGGAUAGAAGAUUCAGAUAAGAAUGUAUGAAUACCCAUUAUUGUAAGAAAAUGGGUAAAAUUAAAUACUACUACUAGGUUCUGUUCUUAAUCAAAAGAGUUUAAUAGGGUGGAGUGUGCCAAAUUCAAUCCAGUUUUCCUUACUGUAGCUAGAUAACUCAUUCAAGUUCAACAUUCAGAUACAUAACAAAUAUUCUUUAAAAAAAAUAUUCUGAAAAACAACUCAGAACACUGAUGUUAUCUAAAAUGACUAGAAUUUUAUUU